AUUGAACGCUGGCGGCAGGCCUAACACAUGCAAGUCGAGCGGAUGAAGGGAGCUUGCUCCUGGAUUCAGCGGCGGACGGGUGAGUAAUGCCUAGGAAUCUGCCUGGUAGUGGGGGAUAACGUCCGGAAACGGGCGCUAAUACCGCAUACGUCCUGAGGGAGCAAGUGGGGGAUCUUCGGACCUCACGCUAUCAGAUGAGCCUAGGUCGGAUUAGCUAGUUGGUGGGGUAAAGGCCUACCAAGGCGACGAUCCGUAACUGGUCUGAGAGGAUGAUCAGUCACACUGGAACUGAGACACGGUCCAGACUCCUACGGGAGGCAGCAGAGGGGAAUAUUGGACAGUGGGCGAAAGCCUGAUCCAGCCAUGCCGCGUGUGUGAAGAAGGUCUUCGGAUUGUAAAGCACUUUAAGUUGGGAGGAAGGGCAGUAAGUUAAUACCUUGCUGUUUUGACGUUACCAACAGAAUAAGCACCGGCUAACUUCGUG
rnacentral:rRNA from 1 species